UUCACGGAGAGUUUGAUCCUGGCUCAGGACGAACGCUGGCGGCGUGCUUAACACAUGCAAGUCGAACGGUGAAGCCCAGCUUGCUGGGUGGAUCAGUGGCGAACGGGUGAGUAACACGUGAGCAACCUGCCCUCCACUUCGGGAUAAGCCCUGGAAACGGGGUCUAAUACCGGAUACGAGCACUCGACGCAUGUCGGGUGUUGGAAAGUUUUUCGGUGGGGGAUGGGCUCGCGGCCUAUCAGCUUGUUGGUGGGGUAAUGGCCUACCAAGGCGUCGACGGGUAGCCGGCCUGAGAGGGCGACCGGCCACACUGGGACUGAGACACGGCCCAGACUCCUACGGGAGGCAGCAGUGGGGAAUAUUGCACAAUGGGCGAAAGCCUGAUGCAGCGACGCCGCGUGAGGGAUGACGGCCUUCGGGUUGUAAACCUCUUUCAGCAGGGAAGAAGGCCUUCGGGUGGACGGUACCUGCAGAA
rnacentral:rRNA from 1 species